UAGGGAAUCUUCUGCAAUGGACGAAAGUCUGACCGAGCAACGCCGCGUGAUUGAAGAAGGUUUUCGGAUCGUAAAACUCUGUUGUUAGAGAAGAACAAGGACGUUAGUAACUGAACGUCCCCUGACGGUAUCUCACCAGAAAGCCACGGCUAACUACGUGCCAGCAGCCGCGGUAAUACGUAGGUGGCAAGCGUUGUCCGGAUUUAUUGGGCGUAAAGCGAGCGCAGGCGGUUUCUUAAGUCUGAUGUGAAAGCCCCCGGCUCAACCGGGGAGGGUCAUUGGAAACUGGGAGACUUGAGUGCAGAAGAGGAGAGUGGAAUUCCAUGUGUAGCGGUGAAAUGCGUAGAUAUAUGGAGGAACACCAGUGGCGAAGGCGGCUCUCUGGUCUGUAACUGACGAUGAGGCUCGAAAGCGUGGGGAGCAAACAGG
rnacentral:rRNA from 1 species